rnacentral:rRNA from 1 species
GAUGAACGCUGGCGGCGUGCCUAAUACAUGCAAGUCGAGCGGACGGACGAGAAGCUUGCUUCUCUGAUGUUAGCGGCGGACGGGUGAGUAACACGUGGAUACCCUACCUAUAAGACUGGGAUAACUUCGGGAAACCGUAGCUAAUACCGGAUAAUAUUUUGAACCGCAUGGUUCAAAGGUGAAAGACGGUCUUGCUGUCACUUAUAGAUGGAUCCGCGCUGCAUUAGCUAGUUGGUAAGGUAACGGCUUACCAAGGCAACGAUGCAUAGCCGACCUGAGAGGGUGAUCGGCCACACUGGAACUGAGACACGGUCCAGACUCCUACGGGAGGCAGCAGUAGGGAAUCUUCCGCAAUGGGCGAAAGCCUGACGGAGCAACGCCGCGUGAGAGAUGAAGGUCUUCGGAUCGUAAAACUCUGUUAUUAGGGAAGAACAUAUGUGUAAGUAACUGUGCACAUCUUGACGGUACCUAAUCAGAAAGCCACGGCUAACUACGUG